UACGAAGGGGGCUAGCGUUGCUCGGAAUCACUGGGCGUAAAGCGCACGUAGGCGGACUAUUAAGUCAGGGGUGAAAUCCCGGGGCUCAACCCCGGAACUGCCUUUGAUACUGGUAGUCUCGAGUCCGGAAGAGGUGAGUGGAAUUCCGGAGUGUAGAGGUGAAAUUCGUAGAUAUUCGGAGGAACACCAGUGGCGAAGGCGGCUCACUGGUCCGGUACUGACGCUGAGGUGCGAAAGCGUGGGGGAGCAACAG
rnacentral:rRNA from 1 species